rnacentral:rRNA from 1 species
UACGUAGGCAGCGAGCGUUGUUCGGAGUUACUGGGCGUAAAGGGUGUGUAGGCGGUUGUUUAAGUUUGGUGUGAAAUCUCCCGGCUCAACUGGGAGGGUGCGCCGAAUACUGAAUGACUUGGAGUGCGGGAGAGGAAAGUGGAAUUCCUGGUGUAGCGGUGGAAUGCGCAGAUAUCAGGAGGAACAUCCGUGGCGAAGGCGGCUCUCUGGGCCGAUACUGACGCUGAGGAGCGAAAGCGUGGGGAGCGAACAGG